rnacentral:lncRNA from 1 species
GCCACCUCUUUCUCUGAGUUCAAAGCUGGAAAUUGAACAAAAUACGAUAAAAUUUGAAUCAUACAAUCCAAAUUUCAAACAAAGGGCUAAAUUUGCAUACAUGAAACUCAACGACUAAGAUUGUUACUACAUAUUAUUCAAGAACUAAUUACCAAAAACAACACUCUGAGGUUCAUACCUUUAGUUUUUGUUCAUUUAUUAUUUUUCUCAGUAAAUCAACCAUUUGUUCUUUAUCAAUAUCCAAGACCUGUUAUAGAGAAGGCAAAUAGAGCAUAAAAAAAUUAACUGGGUUAGCAACAUGUAACUUAAAUAUACUUAAGAACGUGUAUUUAAUUCAAAACCAAGAAAUUAGAAGAUAUCUAAAUCAUGUAUAAAGUCAUGAUCUCAAGAACUAAACUAUCCUAGUGAGUCUGAAAUUGAGAGAUACCCAUUAAACAAACAUUUCAACGAUUUGGGAGAUACCCAUUAACUUUUCGACUUGAGAGAUACCCAUGUCGAUUUUUCAAGAUUGAUAGAGAAAAUGAGCAACCCAAAUAAUUAGGGAGGUUUAUAUACACCUGGCGAAUGGGAAGGAGAACCAAGAGGGGUUUCCAAAACCCCGUUUUGAAAAGAAAGAAGGAGAUCGAGGUUGGCCUAACGUUUAGACAUGCUUUCGCUCUCUCUUUUCGUCUUAUGCGUUUGUGAUUUUUGUUACAGUCUUUGCUUGCAGCAAUGGAGGUAGGUGGAGGGUCAGUGAGGAGGAACUUGAGCUUCUUCUGCAGUCGGAGGUUGAGAGCAAUGGAAAAUGAAGAGAUUCAUCCCCUUCAGAUAUCAAUCCCCAAUUCCUCUUCAACAAUUUGGAUUAACUCUGGCCUAAAGCCCAAAUCUGUAUACAAAAGCUCUACCUCAAGUGGGCAAACUCCCAAAACAAUAUGAAAAUUACCCAAAUCCAUACACCCUUCCAAAACCAUAGCAAUUGAUAUAAAUUUGAAACCAAAAAUAAUUUCAAGGAAAUUGAUAGAUAAUCAAAUUUAUUUGAGGAGAUGAAGAGGGUAACCUACUUUAGUACAAUUUACCUCUAAUUCAUCCUCCUGGGUUGCCCUCCCUACUCUUUUUGUAGACUAUCUCAUCCACAAACAUAUGUUUGUCAAAGCAGUCGUCUGACCAAGUUAAAUGGAUUAUACUCAUCUAGCCAUCUUGCCUGCUCUGAUGGAGCAAUCUUUCUUCUAUUAAUCUACCUUCGUUGGGUAAAUAUGACUGAGUUUUGGGUUGUGGAUUUAAGAUUUCUCGUUCUAGGGUUUGAUGGAGUCUGCAGCCAGUUGGAGAAAGAUUGAAGCAGUGGAAAGGAAGCAACGAAACCGCGAGAGAAGAAAAUUAAAAGGGAUUAAAACCAUGAGAGCAAGAUUGAAGCCGUGGAAAGGAUGAACAACGAGUCGAGGAGAGAGAGGGAAGAAAUAGCGAAAACUCACGUGUCU